UACGUAGGGUGCGAGCGUUAAUCGGAAUUACUGGGCGUAAAGUGUGCGCAGGCGGCAGAGCAAGUCGAGUGUGAAAGCCCCGGGCUUAACUUGGGAAUUGCGCUCGAAACUACUUUGCUGGAGUGUGGCAGAGGAAGGUGGAAUUCCACGUGUAGCGGUGAAAUGCGUAGAGAUGUGGAGGAACACCAACGGCGAAAGCACUCUGCUGGGCCGACACUGACACUGAGAGACGAAAGCUAGGGGAGCGAAUGGG
rnacentral:rRNA from 1 species